CGGAAUGGAUAAGCGCUGAAAGCAUCUAAGCGCGAAGCCAACUUCAAGAUAAGAUUUCCCACCGCAAGGGUAAGACUCCAGAAAGACUAUCUGGUUGAUAGGUCGAAGGUGUAAGUGCAGCAAUGUAUUUAGCUUAUCGAUACUAAUAGGUCGAGGACUUGACCAAUAUUUAUU
rnacentral:rRNA from 1 species